CUUCAGUGACUUGCCUGUAUCUGGCACCGAUGUCCCUCGGCGCUGGUUCAGGGUCCGCCCACGCUCCUCCCCGCCGAGAUCAUCCGACGGUGGAGACCGAUUGCGUAUGCGGCAUUAGACCUCCCCAUAGGAAAGAAUUUAAAAAUGCUUUCAAAUGGGGAUUGCAGCGACGCUGGAGGUCCUCACAUAGCACACGAAAUGUGUGCUAUAAACCUGGAAGUGCCCUCUAGUGGCUGUCUAAU